AUACGGCCCAGACUCCUACGGGAGGCAGCAGUGGGGAAUAUUGCACAAUGGGCGGAAGCCUGAUGCAGCAACGCCGCGUGCGGGAUGACGGCCUUCGGGUUGUAAACCGCUUUCGCCUGUGACGAAGCGUGAGUGACGGUAAUGGGUAAAGAAGCACCGGCUAACUACGUGCCAGCAGCCGCGGUGAUACGUAGGGUGCGAGCGUUGUCCGGAUUUAUUGGGCGUAAAGGGCUCGUAGGUGGUUGAUCGCGUCGGAAGUGUAAUCUUGGGGCUUAACCCUGAGCGUGCUUUCGAUACGGGUUGACUUGAGGAAGGUAGGGGAGAAUGGAAUUCCUGGUGGAGCGGUGGAAUGCGCAGAUAUCAGGAGGAACACCAGUGGCGAAGGCGGUUCUCUGGGCCUUUCCUGACGCUGAGGAGCGAAAGCGUGGGGAGCGAACAGGCUUAGAUACCCUGGUAGUCCACGCUGUAAACGGUGGGUACUAGGUGUGGGGUCCAUUCCACGGGUUCCGUGCCGUAGCUAACGCUUUAAGUACCCCGCCUGGGGAGUACGGCCGCAAGGCUAAAACUCAAAGGAAUUGACGGGGCCCCGCACAAGCGGCGGAGCAUGCGGAUUAAUUCGAUGCAACGCGUAGAACCUUACCUGGGUUUGACAUGGAUCGGGAGUGCUCAGAGAUGGGUGUGCCUCUUUUGGGGUCGGUUCACAGGUGGUGCAUGGCUGUCGUCAGCUCGUGUCGUGAGAUGUUGGGUUAAGUCCCGCAACGAGCGCAACCCUUGUUCACUGUUGCCAGCACGUUAUGGUGGGGACUCAGUGGAGACCGCCGGGGUCAACUCGGAGGAAGGUGGGGAUGACGUCAAGUCAUCAUGCCCCUUAUGUCCAGGGCUUCACGCAUGCUACAAUGGCUGGUACAGAGAGUGGCGAGCCUGUGAGGGUGAGCGAAUCUCGGAAAGCCGGUCUCAGUUCGGAUUGGGGUCUGCAACUCGACCUCAUGAAGUCGGAGUCGCUAGUAAUCGCAGAUCAGCAACGCUGCGGUGAAUACGUUCCCGGGGCUUGUACACACCGCCCGUCAAGUCAUGAAAGUUGGUAACACCCGAAGCCGGUGGCCUAACCGUUGUGGGGGAGCCGUCGAAGGUGGGACUGGUGAUUAGGACUAAGUCGUAACAAGGUAGCCGUACCGGAAGGUGCGGCUG
rnacentral:rRNA from 1 species